rnacentral:rRNA from 1 species
GCUUCGGCUACCACUUACAGAUGGACCCGCGGCGCAUUAGCUAGUUGGUGAGGUAACGGCUCACCAAGGCAACGAUGCGUAGCCAACCUGAGAGGGUGAUCGGCCACACUGGGACUGAGACACGGCCCAGACUCCUACGGGAGGCAGCAUUAGGGAAUCUUCCGCAAUGGACGAAAGUCUGACGGAGCAACGCCGCGUGAGUGAUGAAGGUUUUCGGAUCGUAAAGCUCUGUUGUUAGGGAAGAACAAGUACCGUUCAAAUAGGGCGGUACCUUGACGGUACCUAACCAGAAAGCCACGGCUAACUACGUGCCAGCAGCCGCGGUAAUACGUAGGUGGCAAGCGUUGUCCGGAAUUAUUGGGCGUAAAGGGCUCGCAGCGGUUUCUUAAGUCUGAUGUGAAAGCCCCCGGCUCAACCGGG